AAUCGGCAGUGUAUCAAAUCUUGUUCUCCCCACUGUAUAGAAACUAAAUUUAAAAAAUGAUCCUAUACGAUACCAGGAACAUCUGCAAAAAGACAGGGAGAGAUAAUGGAAGAAAAAAGAGAAGCGAGAAGUGAAAUCUAUCUCUGAGCUUACAAAGCGAAAACAAAGAAACAAGAGAUGGCAAUGGAAAUGUAACCAACGGAAUAGAAGACAGACUUUAAAGAGAACACUUGCAAUGGAGACCUACCUAUCAGGCAACACAACACCUCAGUCACCAGAUGACUUGCAGCCAUCAUACCUGCCCCUAACUUACCUGCCGCUGAUGCACAUCCUGAUACCCCUUCCUCAUCGUCUGCAACAGGAAUGAGAAGUCGAAUACUUGCUGGAAGGAAAAGGGUUGGAAGAGGUCGCUCAAAAGCAUACAGAGAUCUUAGUAUGACAAUAUGUCAAACUUGAUAAUGCUUUAAGUAAAGCUGAGAAAUACAAAAAAGGUAUGAUUUGACUGAUGAACAAAAGGACAAGAUUCCAACAAAGACAAAGACAAAACAGCAAAUGAAGGGAACUCCGAAGAUCUUGAGAAGGAUUUUAUUGUUUCAAAAUGCCAUAAUUGCAGAGUUAAAACAAAAGUAUUAAAAAAAUGUGCAAUGCCAAGGACAAACAAGUGGCUUCAAAAAUGCUCAGAGGCAACAUCCUGAGAAAGUAUGGCCUUGUCAAAGCCGCAAACAGAGAAUUUGGAUUUUCAGCAAAAGCAAUAAGGGCAAGUGAAAACAGGCCAUCAAGUCUUCAAUACUCCAGGAAAAAUCAGUGUAACAGAAUUAGCACUGCCACAGAAGAGAAAAUCAUUAGAUUCUAUGAACGUGAUGACAACAGCAGAGCAACAACAGGGAAAAAGGACACACUAACGAGGAACAAGAAGAAAAAGCAGAAGCGCUAAGAAGAAGUUUAAGAAAAUUAAAAUGUCCUACUGUGAUUUCUGCAAAAUACGUCCUUUUUGGGUUGUCAAGUCAACAGUCCAGGAUAGGGACACGUCUCUGCAAAACCCAAGCCAACCUCCAGUUCAUGGCGGACAAACUACAGCAUCACAAAGCGAUCAGCUGCAGCAACGUUGAGAAAGUUAGUGAGUCUUUGUGCUGUGGGAACCUGAUAAAAAGAGUGCAUGUACACAGUUCUCCCUUUGCCAAGCAAAAUUAAAACAUCUGACUGUGAUGCUGGUGAGCAGACAUGGUGGUUUGAAUGGAAAAACAAAGCUGAAGAGAGAGAGAAGAAAAACAAAGAGGGAAACAUGGAGAAAUUCAUUGUACAUUUGACAGUAAAAUAAAAUAUAUGUGGCACACUGUAGAUUCUAUUGGAGGACCUCUCCAAAGGAUUGAAAUGAAGUUGGGGAAACACGUGUACGACAUUCGACACCAAUACUCCAAACUGAGAGAAUUAAAAGAGAAUCUGGGGAAAGAGGAGAUCAUUGUGCAUAUUGACUUUGCAGAGAACUACCUGUGUAAAUACACCAGUGAAAUCCAGGCAGUUCACUUUGGUGAUUCUCAGAAGCAGGUGACCCUCCACACCUGUGUUGGAUAUACCACAAAUGAUACAGUUUCAAUUUGCUCACUGAGUUCUUCUAUGCGGCAUGACCCAUCUGCUAUCUGGGCCCAUCUCUCAAAAACACUGGCCUACUUUCUUGAGCUUUGCCCAUCAGCUACUGCUGUACACUUGGUGAGUGAUGCGCCUACAACCCAAUAUAGUUCUAAAAAUAAUUUUUACUAUCUCUCCACCCUUCCCUUUGAAAUGGGUCUCCAGAGAGUUAUGUGGAAUUUCCUAGAAGCCGGACAUGGAAAAGGCCCAGCUGAUGGGGUAGGAGCAGCUGUGAAACGAAGAGCUGCUGAAAUUGUGGCACAAGGCAAGGACCUCCCAAAUGCAAAAACUAUUUGAGGAACUGUCAAAAGACCAGUCAGCUAUCAAGCUCUUAUAUAUCUCAGAGGAGGAGCUAGAGAGCAUCGAGGCCCUCCUACCGGAUCACCUGGAGACAAUCAGUGGGACAAUGAAGAUACACCAGAUCGUCACCGACAGUCCAGGGGAGAUAACUUGGCGGCUACUCAGUUGCUUCUGUUCCUUUCCACAUCACUGCAGCUAUUUAAGCCCACAGACUGUGACUCUGGUUGAAAAAACUGAGG